UGUCCUAAGACAAAAACACAUCAAAGAGGC
rnacentral:piRNA from 1 species